AGGUUAGCCCGAGACCAGCUGGUAGAUGCGUACAGAUAGCUGGGGUGUGGCGUGCAUGCAUCCUAAUUGCGGGCGGUUUGCAGAUAGGGUGGGAUGGCUGGUUUGGGUUUGGGGAGGCAGUGGCGGGGCGAAGUGUGAGGACUUCCUGGGAAAGUUGGCUUGCUGGGAGAACGUUUGGUGCGCCUGUCUCCUGGAGAAAAAGUCGCAGGAGUCGCCUUCGGUUUCUAAUUGUGGAGGGUAGCCGGGUAUUGGAAUGGAGAGAAUAAUUCAAAAGAUGUCAAACCUCGAGCAGACCAGACCGCGUCCUCAGUUUGGCACACAAGAGAAAGAAGGCUGUGGUGAUGAUGAGCAGAGUGGGAACCAUAUCUAGGACGGGAGGAUGAAGGAGCAGUGGGUGGAAAGAAGCAAAAGAGCCCAAGGGAUGUGUAUUUGUGAUUCUUUGCCCUUAAUUAAGGCUCUCCAAUGAC